rnacentral:rRNA from 1 species
UACAGAGGGGGCAAGCGUUGUUCGGAAUUACUGGGCGUAAAGGGCGCGUAGGCGGCCUGCUAAGUCGAACGUGAAAUCCCCGAGCUCAACUCGGGAACUGCGUCCGAUACUGGCAGGCUUGAAUCCGGGAGAGGGAUGCGGAAUUCCAGGUGUAGCGGUGAAAUGCGUAGAUAUCUGGAGGAAUACCGGUGGCGAAGGCGGCAUCCUGGACCGGCAUUGACGCUGAUGAGCGAAAGCUAGGGGAGCAAACGGG